GACGAACGCUGGCGGCGUGCCUAACACGUGCAAGUCGAACGGAAAGGCCCUGCUCUUGCUGGGUGCUCGAGUGGCGAACGGGUGAGUAACACGUGAGUAACCUGCCCUUGACUUUGGGAUAACUUCAGGAAACUCGGGCUAAUAUCGGAUAGGAGCUCCUGCUGCACGGUGGGGGUUGGAAAGUUUGGGCGGUUGGGGAUGGACUCGCGGCUUAUCAGCUUGUUGGUGGGGUAGUGGCUUACCAAGGGUUCGACGGAUAGCCGGCCUGAGAGGGUGACCGGGCACAAUGGGCCUGAGAUAGGGCGCAGAAUGGAACGGGAGGCAGCGGUGGAGAGUAUUGCGCAAUAAGCGGAAGCCAGAUGUAGCAACGUCGGGUGCGGGAUGACGGCCUACGGGUUGUGAACCGCUUUGGCAUGUAACGAAGCGUGAGUGACGGUAAUGGGUAAAGAAGCACCGGCUAACUACGUG
rnacentral:rRNA from 1 species